rnacentral:lncRNA from 1 species
GCGAGUUGUGUAAAAUCUUGGAAAAGGAAGAUCAACAUCUCAAACUAUGGCCUCAGAAACAAAUCUGGAAGUCAUGAGCUCCUCAUAGAAGUGAAGCGCGUUUAUCUUGGGUUGUUAUUUAUGUGGGCAACCAUGCUGAAACUCUUAUUCGUCUCUUUUUGCACUGUCCUAUUACACCAUUCUUAACUUUGUCUAGCACUGGACAAAACAAGAAUAAGCGGGUGGUACGCUAUUCCAGCUUGUAUNNNN